GCCCACAUAGCUCAGUUGGCAGAGCACGUCCUUGGUAAGGACGAGGUCACCCGUUCAAUCCGGGUUGUGGGCUCCA
rnacentral:tRNA from 1 species